UACGUAGGCAGCGAGCGUUGUUCGGAGUUACUGGGCGUAAAGCGUGCGUAGGCGGUUUUCUAAGUCUGGUGUGAAAUCUCCCGGCUCAACUGGGAGGGUGCGCUAGAAACUGGAAGGCUCAGAGUGUGGGAGAGGUAGGCGGAAUUCCUGGUGUAGCGGUGAAAUGCGUAGAUAUCAGGAGGAACACCUGUGGUGUAGACGGCUUACUGGACCAUGACUGACGCUGAGGCACGAAAGCGUGGGGAGCAAACAGG
rnacentral:rRNA from 1 species